rnacentral:SRP_RNA from 1 species
GCUGGGCGUGGUGGCCCACGCUUGUACUCCCAGCUACUUGGGAGGCAGAGGCAGGAGGAUCGCUUGAACCCAGGAGCUACUCGGGAGGCUGAGGCAGGAGGAUCAAUUGAGCCUGGGAGGUCAAGACUGCAGUGAGCCAAGAUCAUGCUACUGCACUCCAGCCUGGGCAACAGAGUGAGAUCCUGUCUCAA